UACUUUACACCUAUACUUUGUCAUCAUGCAAGGGACUCUACCUCUGAUCAAGCAUCCACGCGAACGAUAAAACAAUAUCUCCGCCUCCACACAAUUCAUUACCAGCAACGUUAAGCCAGAAGUUGUGUCAACGGCACCCAUUAUGCGCCCUGUUUGUAUCACUUGCGCUUCAAACACCCGGCAUCAACCAUGUCGCUUGCAAACACCUACCAUCUCCGGCGUUAACCACGUCGCGCGCAACAACUAACCUGCCAACUCCAGCGCAUCAAAACCAGUUGUCAUCUACAGCAUCAACCACGGCGCGCGGACACGUUCCGGCCACCACCUCCAGCUCGUAAGCCUCCACAUCAUCUAAUGAUUAAGGCUCAUGGCUGAUAGGAUGCUGUGGAAACAAGUGAAUCAAGCUAGGGUGAUGCUUAGAAACCCACGUAGUUAAUUAAACUUUGAACAAUAUUUGAUAUUUGGUGUAAUUUGAUACUUGAUGUGAUGGUUAUUCGUUUUAGACAAUGUUGAAUCAGUUUAAUCUAUUAUGAAAUUUCUAGUGUUAUGGGAU